UAUUUUGAAAAUUCUUUCACCUCAGAAUGUUGCGAAAAUUAGACGUUUUGUUGGAAUUGCGAGUUGCAGCCAGAUUUUAAUAAUAACCCUUUCAUCCUGCAAACAGACGCUUCUGCUUAUGGAUCAGGUGCAGUUCUUUCCAGGGUGAACGCGUUAUUUGUUGCCUUUGGGAAAAUCCACUACCGAACGCGAGAGUUAGGGCAGUUAUUUGAUCACCAUUACCUUCUGUGCUUACAAGAUUCUCAACGUCUCGAUUAGCAGGGUGGGCACUUCGAUUGCCACCACACUAAUUUAAGAUGACAUCCCGUUUGGUCCCCGUUUCUGCCGAUUCAAUCACACCCCACAAAUAGAAAAUUCCAGGACAUAGGCGGUCGGGCACUGGCGAGUAAUCUAAAUCAGAAUUACGGCACAGGAAAACGGUAGGGAUUUCCCAAAGCGGGAACGGAAGCACAAAUUAUCUAACGAGAGACAAAACAAAGGAAAACAAAUCCCUCUUAUAAUUAACGAAAUGAAAAUAUCGAGGAAAAUAUCAAACGCUUACCUUUAAAAGUAAGCGGUUCGG